rnacentral:rRNA from 1 species
AGAGUUUGAUCAUGGCUCAGGAUGAACGCUGGCGGUAUGCAUAACACAUGCAAGUCGAACGGUCUGGAAACAGACAGUGGCGGACGGGUGAGUAACGCGUGAGAAUCUAACUUGUGGUUCGGGAUAACCACUGGAAACGGUGGCUAAGACCGGAUGUGCCGGGAGGUGAAAGGGAGACCGCCACAAGAGGAGCUCGCGUCCGAUUAGCUAGAUGGUGGGGUAAAGGCCUACCAUGGCGACGAUCGGUAGCUGGUCUGAGAGGACGAACAGCCACACUGGGACUGAAACACGGCCCAGACUCCUACGGGAGGCAGCAGUGKGGAAUUUUCCGCAAUGGGCGAAAGCCUGACGGAGCAAUACCGCGUGAAGGAGGAAGGCCCUUGGGUUGUAAACCUCUUUUYUCAGGGAAGAGGAUGGACGGUACCUGAGGAAGAAGCCCCGGCUUACUACGUGCCAGCAGCCGCGGUAAUACGUAGGGGGCGAGCGUUGUCCGGAUUUACUGGGCGUAAAGCGCGUGCAGGCGGUUCAACAAGUUCAGAGUGACAGUCACCAGCCUAACUGGUGAAGGGUUCUGAAAACGAUUGGACUGGAGAGCGAGAGAGGGACCUGGAACUCCGGGUGGAGCGGUGAAAUGCGUAGAGAUCCGGAAGAACACCACUGGCGAAGGCGGGUAGCUGGGCUGACACUGACGCUGAGGCGCGAAAGCUAGGGGAGCGAACGGGAUUAGAUACCCUGGUAGUC